rnacentral:lncRNA from 1 species
GUUGCCUGAAAAGCAUACUCUCUGAACUUCAUCUUUGCGGACCGCACAAAAUGGUGUGCGGCCGCACUGGCCCUGUUUGACUGAGCUUGGUCUUGUCUUGGUACUUGUGCAUGCUUCAUUCCUUUUUGAGCUGAUUUUUGACACAUUGUCACCUUGUUGAUCAAACCUUGCAAUCAAGUCCAACUUGUGAGCCUUUGGGAGUAUUUUGUACACAUUUCUAAUCAAAACUUAAGCAAGAAGGAUUGUAAAAUGCAUCAUAAUCCCUAGUUAUCAGAGAUUAGUGUCAUGAGUAAGAGGUUUGUGUAUUGACUUGCGGAUCGUUGAUUUACUUUGCAGCAUUUGUAUGGCCGGUGGUAUGGAUGUGCAGACUUGUUACCUGGUGCAGAAGGCCAUGAGAGCAUAUCCCACGGAAAGCUUGUAUAAGUGUGACGUGUAGUCACUUAAUUGAUUGAGGAUUUAAACCAAGUAUGGAGAUUGUAGUACUAGCGCUAAUUGAGAAUUUAUGCCUGAAGGGCGCUUGGUUCAUUUAGUUGUGGAAUGUGGAAGGUUGUUCCGGAUUAGACGGUUGUUCUUGUGUGUUAUGGGAAAAAGGGGGUUAUGGACCCAAGAAAGAUUAUUGGCCUAGUUUAGUACGAUCAUAAUCGGCUUGAGGUUUGUGAAUGAAAUUAAAUAUAAAUAUGGGCUCUAUAUCUGGCCGGAUAUGUUCAUUUCAGCAUAGCCCUCCUUAUGGAGGAGUAUAUGGAUGUUGGAUGUUAUUUUACCGUCGGCUAUUUUAUGUAAUGCUAUAUUGUGCCGUGUGAGUUGCGAAAUGGCUUGAUAAAUUUCUUGUGUGUUGAGGUUCCGCGUAGUGAUGGUAUUAUGUGAGUAGGAUGGAUCUUGAGAUUCAGGUCAUAUAUCGCACUUCAGUUAUGCUUGAGUUUUGUAGCUUAUGGCACUAUCUGUCUCCCUGGGGAUGGUAUUAUGCAAUUAGCGUGCUUGUGGCCGAUAUUCGUUAUUUUGUAGUAAUAAGCGAUUUUGCUCGGUGUGUAUCUUCUUAUAUGAAUUUUAUGUAUGGAUCGGGUGGCAUACCGCCAUAGGUAUGUUGUUUGGAUCGGGUUGCACACCGCGACAAUAUGAUGUUUAGUACAGUUCCCUAUAUAUAUUUUUGUGUGUUUUGUUUCCCAUUUUCUGAGGAAAGUUCAUAUUAGUUGCGUGAGUUGAGUAGUCCCUUCCAGGGUCCGUUUUCAUUAUGUAUCACGUUCGAGCUUGUGGCCUAUUGGCACGUUGUGGCAUCAUAUGGGACUUUUGAUCAUGAUCGGGGUGGCUUAUUGCCUGAGCAGUUUGUAUUGGGUGAGACAUGAUUAUUGGAUCUAGGAUCAGUGCAGUCAGAUUAUAUGAAGUAUAUUAAAGAGCAAAGAUCAUUAUUUGGUUCAGAAUGGGAUAAUGGUUCUUGUCAGAAGUAAAGACUCAAUGAUUUGUUGACUCGGCAGUUGGUUAUGAAUUUUUAUACAUCUCUUUCGUUGUGGCAGUAUCGCGAGAGUUGGAACAAGACUUAUAUAUAACAUGAGCUGCAUUGUGAGCAUCAGAUUCGGGAAAUGUCGGUUAUUAUGAUCAGAGAAUGUUAUAAUGGUCCUAUGAAUGAUGUGGUGCAUGGUGAGAAUUCAGCAAAGACAGGUAGUCAUGUUCGGGUACCUCGUGUAGUGAUUGAUACGGUUUUCAUAUAUUGGAAGCAGGCCUGGUAGAGAAUUUUGGAUGUUGGAAUUGGGCUCUAAGAUUAUUUGCUUGAAUAAAAGGGAAUAUCUUCAGAAUUAAUCGAGCUAAUAUGCUCAACUGGGUUGUAGUAGCACGGGUAGGUGCACGAGGUAUUAAACAAUGAUUUCAGACUACUUCGGUAUAGUUCUCAACACGUUCGAGGACGAAUGUAUGUUUAAGUGGGAGAGAAUGUAAUGACCAGAUCGGUCGUUUUAAGCUCUGGCGCGUCGUUUAGUAGUUUGAGGCCAUCAGCAGCUUCACUUUAGGUAUUAUGACUUGUACGCAUGGUCGGAAUUGAAUUUCGGGAAGUUGGGAGUUUAUUCGAAAAGAAAAUUCUCAUUUCGGAAGCUUCAAGUUGAAAGAAUUGACUAAAAUUAGAUUUUUGAGAAAACGACCUCGGAAUCGAGAUUCGAAGGUUCUAGCAGGUUCGUAUGAUGAUUUUGGACUUGGACGUAUGUCCGGAUCGGGUUUUGGAAGACCCGGAAACAUUUUGGCAUUUAUUGUGGAAGUUAGCAUUUUUAGAAGAAUUUAAUAAGUUUGGGUUGAAGUAUAUUUCAGUGUUAUCAAUGUCCGUUUGGGAUUCCGAGUCUGGGACUACUCCGUAUGGUGAUUCUGGUGUUGGGAGCGCGAUCGAAAGUGAAUUCGGAGGUCCGUGGGUCAUUUUGGAGUCAUUUGGCUAAAGAUAUAAAUUUGAAGGUAUUUGAGAAGUUUGACAGGGAGUGGACUUUUUGAUAUCGGGGUCGGAUUCCAAUUGUGGAAGUUGGAGUAGGUCCGUAAUGUCGAAUGUGACUUGUGUGCAAAAUUUAAUGUCAAUCAGACGUGAUUUGAUAUAUUUCAGCAUCGAAUGUAGAAAUUGGAAUUUCUUAGUUUCAUUAGACUCGAAUUGAGGUGUGAUUCGUGUUUUUAGCGUUGUUUGAUGUGAUUUGAGGCCUUUUCUAAGUACGUGACACGUUUUGAGACUUGUUGGUAUGUUCGGAUGGGGUCCCGAGGGGAUCGGGUGAGUUUCGAGGCGGUUUCAGACCAUUUCUAGGCCAUUUGUAGCUACUGGUUUUUGGCUACAACAAUAUGCUAUGCGAUCGCGGGGAAUUGGUCGCGAUCGCGAUGAGUAAAGUGGGAGAAAAUGGCCAGUUAUCCGCGAUCGCGGAAGGCCUUUCACGAUCGCGUUGAGGAAAGUUUUUGCCACACUGACCCUUCUUUGGAAGCUUUUAUAUCGCAAUCUAUAUGGAAUUUGGAGAUGAUCCAAAAUAGAAAGUUGUAGUCCUUGCAGUCUAGUUUUCAAAAGGUUAAACCAUUUGCAAUUUGGAGUUUUGUACAAAAAGUUAUGGCAAUUAUACUAGAGACUAUAGAGGAAGAGCUGGGCAUUUGUUCUUCGCGAUCGCGAUGCCUUUUCCGCGAUCGCGAAGGGCAAAUUUUGGACUGAGAAAUGUUGUGCUUCACGAUUGCGAAGCAUUUUCCGCAAUCGCGAAGAGUAAAUACCUGGGCAGAAGCUAUAUUUCGAGGUUUCAGCCAUUUUUAACAUAUUUGGAGCUAUGAAGCUCGGAUUGAAGCAAUUUUUUAGGCGAUUUUCACCAUAUGGAUUGGGAUAAGUGUUUUAUAUCCAAAAGUAAGUAUACUUCAUGAUUCUAUGGUUAUAUUCAUCAUUUAUUUCAGAUUUAAAUGGAAGAAAUCGAGAUUUUUGCAAAACUUUUCAAGAACGAAAAUUCAAGAUUUGGAGGUCAAGUUGUUAUAGGAAUUUGAUAAAAUUGGUAUGGUUGAACUCGUAUAGGAAUGGGUUGUCAGAUUUUGUGAGUUUUUUUCGGAAUCGGGGCAUGUGGGCCUGAGGGCGAUUUUGUCAACUUUUCGAACGGUGUUAGGAAUUUAUCUAAAUUGAAUUGUUAUGAGUAUUAGAGCAUGUGUUUAUGGAUUUUCUCACUUAUUGGAUAGUUUUAGAGCGUUGUUCAUCGAUUUGAGUCGUCGGAAGGGCUUGGAAGCCGAUUUUGGAACUUCGGAGCGAGAUGAGUCUCCUUUCUAACCUUGUAAGAGGGAAUUGUCCCCCUAGGUGAAUUUAUUGGAUUUGUGCUCCUAUUUGUGGGGGCUAUAUACGCACGAGGUGACGAGAGUCCGUGCGUAGCUACUAUUAUAUUUAAGUUCGGGUAGUCUAGGACCCAAAAGCAUGCUAUACUCAGAAUAUUUGUAAUUGUAUUGACAGUUUGAAUUGCUUAAAUCAUAUCGAAUUAGUAAAUGAAUUUCUAAAAAGAUUAAACUUUAUUUUCUUGAAUUGUUAAAAGAGAAUUGGCUUUUCUUUGGAUAAUUGUUCCCUGAUGAAUUCUUGAUUAACUGCUUGUUGUGUUUAUUUAUAUUUGACCGCGUCGCAUGUAUGAUUCACGAGCGGGGUAAUAGAUGCAUCUAUGGUUCGCGUCAUUCGACCCUCUGGCAGUGCACAAUUUAAAUAUUGUUGGAUCGGGUCGUACGACCUAGGCAUGAUUUGCGCAUGCUUGUAUUGAUUGCCUUGAUAUUUAUAGAUAUUGAUAUUUGCUCUCCCUGACUAGAGAUAAAUUGAUAAUUAAUAGAUUAUGAAUUCGGAGACUUUUUAAUAUAAAAAGGAACGUUUACCUGUUUCGUGACUUAUUUGAAUUUACUAUCGUUCUUAAUAAAUCCAUGAUUAUUUGUAUUAAUAACAUAUUACUAUUGGACCACUAGUAAGUGUCAAAGUCAACCUCUCGUCUCUACUUCUUCGAGAUUAGACGGGAUACCCACUGGGUACACGUUGUUUUCGUACUCAUACUGCACUUGCUGUGCAUUUUUGUUGCACAGGUUCUUGUGUGGUUAGUGGCCUAGUGGCAUAGCAGCAUGGUUGAUAUAGAGACUUAGGUGAGCUGCAUUUGUCGAGACGACCCGCAGCUAGCAAAGUUCCUUCAGAGUAGUGUAGUGUACUUUCAUUUCUGUCCACUUUGUAUUCCGGACAGUUACUGUAUUUUAUUUUAUUCCUAGUAGAUGCUCAUGCACUUGUGACACCGGGUUCUGGGAUGAUUAUUGGGUAUCUUGUAUUUACGUCUAAACAUUUUUUAUUUACAUUGUAAAGAUUAUCUUUAACUAGUAAAAUUGAAGGAAAAAUCAUAGUUUGUAAAAUUAUUAAAACGAGAAUUUAAUUAAAUAUGUUGGUUGGCUUGCCUGACAACAGUGUCCGGUGCCAUCACGACCCUUAGUGGCUUUUGGGUCGUGACAUUGAUGGGGGUUCAAGCCUCAAUAUUCGUCUGUUGGAUACUCUGAAAAGACUGGGCAAAGGUUUCCAUGAGAUACGGGCAGGAAGCAUGAAUGUAAAAGCCUUCGAUGGGUCUCAAAGGGCCACGAUUGGGGAGUUUAAUCUUUGUCUGUAGAUGGGGCCAACUUGGUUCGACGUUGAAUUCCAAGUUCUUGACAUAUCAGCUUCAUACAAUCUUCUAUUGGGCCGACCAUGGAUACAUGCUGCUAGGGUUGUGGCUUCCACACUACACCAAGCUGUGAAAUUCGAAUGGAACCAUUAGGAGGUGAUCAUUCACGGGAACGGAAGUAACCUCAUCUACACCAGUCAAACCAUCCCGGUCAUCGGGAAUAGAAGAAGACUGGGAGGGGAAACCUAUCAUCACAUCGGACGUGUCAAUGCCAUUGAGAAAGACAAAUGGUGGAGUAACAAAAUAGAAAGCAUACUGACAUGGUCUGGGUAUGAACCCAGCAAAGGGCAUGGGAAGAAUCUCCAGUAUGUUACCAAACCAAUACAGCUGAAACGGCAUGGUACUACCUUCAGGCUCGGAUACCAGUAUACAUGGCAAGAGUAUGAUGAUUGGUCGCCUCCAUGGUGUUGGAAUUAUUACCCUCUCGAGCAACCAGUGCCACAUUUGGGUCAAACUUUUCACCAAGCCGAUACAAUAUGGGGAACUGUAGAAGAAGAAACAUUAGCUGGGCUGAGGAAUCUAUUCCUGGAGGAUAGGGACAUAGAUUGCAGUGCAAUAAUUUAGAAGGAGGAGGAAGAAGGCCUCACUAUUCAGACUAUGGAGAAGGGAGUUGUUCUCAGGAACUGGACUGCUACACCAUCUCGGGCGCGCCGAGUCCCUGGGUAGCUUGGCAUAUUUUAUUUCUCUAGCCAUUCUAGGCAUCUAAGAUUUUCAGUAAUUUUGUUUUAAAGACUUACUUGUUUCAAAAUAAAUGCUCGAUUCAUCGAGUCGUACUUGUUUGGAUGUUUCAAUUUUAAUCAAAUGCAUUGCUCUUAUUUAUUCAUUAUUAUCUUCCACACUUUUUCUUUCUACAACAUUAUUAUUACUUUUCCUGAUGAACCGGUGACUGUGACAUGUAAUGAGGCCACGCAAUAUAAGGAUAAUGAUUCGGACAAAGAAGAUGAAAUACCGGAGGAGGUUGUCAGGGAGCUUGAAAACUUCGAGAAUAAGCCUAAGUCCAACCUGGACGAAACCGAAGCAGUAAAUUUAGGGGACGCCGAGACCGUCAAGGAGACUCGCAUCAGCAUUCACUUAUCACCGAUAGAGAAAUAGGAGUACAAUCAUUUCUUAAAGGAGUAUGAGGACAUUUUCGCAUGGUCAUAUGAUGACAUGACCGGUUUGAGCACGUCCAUAGUGGCUCACAAGUUGCCUACCAAUCCCAUGUGCCCGCCGGUGAAGCAGAAACUCAGAAAAUUCAAACCAGAUAUGAGCCUCAAAAUCAAAGAGGAAGUUACUAAGUAGAUCAAAGCCAAAGUCCUCAGGGUGGUUGAGUACCCAACCUGGUUAGACAACAUUGUGCGAGUUCCGAAGAAAGAUGGAAAAGUCAAAGUAUGUGUUGACUAUCGAGACUUAAACAGAGCAAGUCCCAAGGAUGACUUUCCACUGCCAAAUAUACACAUCCUGAUCAACAAUUGCGCUAAGCAUGAACUCCAAUCCUUUGUAGUUUUAUUCGCGGGUUAUCACCAGAUCUGGAUGGACGAAAAAGAUGCAGAGAAAAUAGCUUUUAUUACAUUAUGGGGAGUAUACUGCUACAAGAUAAUGCCAUUUGGUCUAAAGAAUGCUGGGUCUACUUACAUGAGGGCCAGGACAACUAUAUUACAUGAUAUGAUACACAAAGAAAUAGAGGUGUAUGUGGACGAUGUCAUUAUCAAAUCCAAGAGGGCCGCGGAUAACAUAGCGGACUCUUUGAAAGGUUAAGGAGGUACAACUUGAAACUGAACCCCGCAAAGUGUGCAUUCGGGGUUCCCACAGAAAAGUUACUGGGAUUCAUCGUCAGUCGUCGAGGGAUCAAGCUGGACCCGUCUAAUGUUAAGGCUAUUGAGGAGUUACCGCCGCAUAGGAGCAAAAAGGAUGUGAUGAGCUUCCUAGGACGUCUCAACUAUAUCAGUCGCUUCAUAGCAUAGUCCACAGUUAUAUGUGAACCCAUAUUCAAAAUGCUGAGGAAAGAUGCCGAAACAAGCUGGACCGAGGAUUGUCAGAAAGCUUUUGACAAAAUCAAGAAGUAUCUGUCCACACCACUAGUCUUGGCCCUGCCAAAAUCGGGACGACCUUUGUUACUCUAUCUUUCUAUAUUGGAUGGAACUUUCAGAUGUGUUUUGGGACAAUACGACGAGACAGGGAGAAAGGAGCAAGUUAUAUACUACAUGAGUAAGAAAUUCACACCUUAUGAAGCAUGAUACUCUCUGCAGGAACGCACCUACUGUGCUUUGACCUGGACGGCCCAGAAAUUGAGGCAUUACUUCUGUGCCUAUACCACAUACCUCAUAUCCAAGAUGGACCCUCUAAAGGACAUCUUUCAGAAGCCCAUGCCGACAUGGAAGCUAGCCAAAUGGCAGAUACUAUUAAGUGAGUUCGACAUCAUCUAUGUAACUCAAAAGGAGAUCAAAGGACAAGCAUUGACAGACCAUCUUGCUGAAAAUCUUGUUGGAAGAGAAUACAAACCCUUGAAAACGUAUUUUCCUGAUGAAGAGGUGUCAUUCGUAGGAGAGGACAUUACCGAAGCGUACGACGGUUGGAGGAUGUUCUUUGAUAGAGCUGCGAAUUUCAAAAGAGUGGGCAUUGGAGCGGUUUUGGUAUCAGAAACAGGUCAACAUUACCUGGUAUUUGCUAAACUCAAAUUUCCCUACACCAAUAACAUGGCAGAGUAUGAAGCCUGUAUACUAGGGCUCAACAUAGCGAUCGACAUGAAUAUUCAGGAGCUGCUGGUAAUAGGUGAUUUAGAUUUGCUUGUGCACCAGGAGCAAGGAAAGUGGGCCACUAAAAAUUCCAAGAUAUUGCCAUAUUUGCACCAUGUACAGGAAUUGAGAAAGAGGUUCACAAAGAUAGAUUUUCGGCAUGUGCCCAGAAUUCAGAAUGAGUUCGCAGAUGCAUUGGCCACCUUGUCAUCUAUGAUACAGUAGCUAGAUAAGAAUUUCAUUGAUCCCAUCCCAGUGAAAGUUCAUAAUCAGCCGGCAUAUUGUGCCCAUAUCGAAGAGGAGACGGAGGAAAAACCUUGGUUUCACGACAUCAAAGAUUAUUUGGCUGAGGGAGAAUAUUCAGAGCAUGCGAACAAUACUCACAAACACACACUUCGGAGAUUGUUCAAUCAUUUCCUCCACAGUAGAGGAAACUUGUACAGAAGAACCCCUGAUUUGGGAUUGCUAAGAUGUGUCGACGCAAAAGAGGCUUCUAAGAUACUCGAAGAGAUACAUGUUGGGACCUGCGGCCUGCAUAUGAAUGGUUUCAUCUUGCACAAGAAGAUACUUAGGGCCGGUUACUUUUGGAUGACUAUGGAGAUAGAUUGUGUCCAGUAUGUCCGCAAAUGCUACCAAUGUCAAGUGCAUGCCGAUAGGAUAAAAGAGCCGCCAAAUGAACUCAAUGCCAUAAGCUCACCUUGUCCAUUCGCCGCCUGGGGAACGGAUGUCAUCGGUCCUAUCGAGCCCACUGCUGGGCACAUGUUUAUUCUAGUAGCCAUUGACUACUUCACAAAAUGGGUAGAGGCCGCAUCUUACAAACCUGUAACCAAGAAAGUUGUCGCGGACUUUGUCAAGGACCGUAUUGUUUGCCGAUUCGGAGUUCUCGAGUCCAUUGUUACUGAUAAUGCCGCCAAUCUUAACAGUGAUCUGAUGAAAACCAUGUGUGAAACUUUCAAAAUCAAGUACAAAAAUUCCACAACCUAUAGACCUCAGAUGAAUGGAGUCGUAGAAGCCGCCAACAAAAACAUCAAAAAGAUAGUAAGAAAGAUGGUAGAAAACCACAAAAAAUGGCACGAGAAACUACCCUUUGCUUUGUUAGGAUACUGCACUACUGUUCGCAUAUCAACCAGGGUAACUCCUUACAUACUGGUUUAUGGUACCGAAGCUGGUAUCCUACCGAGGUAGAGAUUCCUUCUUUAAGGAUCAAACGGGAAGCCGAGCUCAGCGAUGUAGAAUGGAUAAGGAGCCGCUAUGAGCAAUUGGCCCUUAUAGAUGGGAAAAGAAUGAACGUGGUAUGUCACAGUCAGCUUUAUCAGAACAGAAUGUCCAGAGCUUUCAACGAAAGGGUCAAACCAAGACAGUUCGCACCAGGACAGCUGGUGCUGAAAAAGAUCUUCCCGCAUCAAGAUGAAGCCAAAGAGAAAUUCUCUCCCAACUGGCAAAGUCCCUACAUGGUUCACAGGAUGCUAACAGGAGGAGCACUCAUACUUGCAGAAAUCGACGGAGAAAUUUGGCCAAAACCAAUCAAUUCAGACGCAGUCAAAAGAUACUAUGCUUAGAGUUUUCGCAUUCACAUGAUGUAAUUGAACUAUGCUUGACCUGAUUCCCAUUUCUGAGGGGAUACGUAGGAAGCCCUGUGGGUUCGGUCAUAUCAUAAUUGUGAUGACCCAAAAAGGUUAUCACUUGUUUUAGAAAUAAAUUUUGUAUUCUGAGGCCUUAAAAACUUAUUUUGUCUCAGCUCAAUUUGCGUGCGCAGUCCGUGCGCAUAGUCGAAAAGCCAUUUUGUGAAAAUAUGAGAAAUAGGAAUUUCUAGAGUUAAAAAUAUUUAUUAUGAUUGACUUUGGUCAAAAUUUUCAGCAAACAGACCCGGAUCUAUGUUCCAACAAUCCUGGGAGGUCCGCAGUAAAAUAUGGGACUUGGGCGUAUGCCCGAAAAUGAAUUUUGAGGUCCCAAACCUUAGAAAUCAAUUUUUGAAAGAAAUUAUUUUGCUAAAUUAUUUAUGAAAUAAAGAAAAGAAUUAAUGUUUGAAACCAUUGGUAUCAGGCCCGUAUUUUGGUUCCGGAGCCCGGUACAAAGUUUUUAAAGUAUUCAAAUGAUAAUGGUAGUGACACAUAAUUCCUGACCCAUUUUUGGGUCUUUCAGUUGUGUUAGUACUAGUCGACUCAGUUCUGGCUGGCCCUUUUCCAAUUGACUUGUAAGUUGUCUGGUUUGACCUGAUAGAAUUGUGAUUGGCGGAUUUGUGCAUGCCAUUGAGUUUCAUUUGCAAUUCCUCAAAACUUCUUAUUCGAUUUCACAUACUUCAUGUUUGAGUUUCCAGGCUUUUACUUCUUUGUUGAGUCUCUUUAGCAUCCAUCAUUUUUUGAGACUCUUUCGAACUAAGAUCAAGAAUAUCCUGCAAUUCAUUACAUCUUUCACAAUUAUAAGACCUUACCUCGCUUGCUUCACCUCGAGCCAUGAAGCGGUUUUCAUUGUUAUCUUUGCAUUCAUCGUCUGAAAUAUCCUCGUCUGUCCAACAUCCUGAAAGUUUGUUCAUAUCAUUUUCCAGAAUUGUCAUGAAGCAAAGAUUUGCUACUUCUUCGUGUUCUGAACUGUCUUCAUCACUCCAGCUUCCAAAUGAUUUGUUUUUGUUGAAACCUCUGGAGAUUUUUCCUUUUAGAUCUGGACAUUUAGCUUGAAUAUGUCCAAAUCUUCCACACUCAUAGCAUUUUACAUCACUCUUAUCUUGUUCAUUGUAUUGCCUGGUUCACCUAGGUGGAAUCCUUCCUCUUCUCAUGUUCCUUAUUCUUCUCAUUAAGCCAUCCAUGUUUCUUGACAUCAUAGUAAUUUCUUCUUAGAGAGCUUUAGGAUCAUCAUUGAUAUCAUUCUCAGUUAUCUCAGUUGUGGCCUUGAACGCAACUGUUUUCUUCUUUUCUUCUUGGUUUGUUUUCUUGAGAUGCAUCUUUUCGAAGGCUAUGAGUUCUCCACGAAGUUCAUCAUAAGAUAAUUUAUUCAGAUCCUAUGAUUCAAGUGUGACUACUUUAGUUUGCCAAGUGGUUGGUAAACUUCUAAGAAUCUUUCUAACUUGAUCACCGCUUGAGUAUGGUUUGCCGAAAGCUUUUAAGUUGCUAAUGGUUUUACUGAAUCUGGCAAACAUUUCCUCAAUGGAUUCUCCUUCUUUCAUCUGGAAGAGUUCAUAAUCGUGAACCAACAUGUUGAUAUGUGUUUCCUUCACUUUGAUGGUUCCUUCGUAUGUAACUUUAAGCUUAUCCCAUAUUUCUUUGGUUGUAUCACAGCUAGAGAUUUUCUCAUAUUCUUCACCACUUAUAGAAUUGUAGAGCAAAUUUCUUGCUUUGUUGUUGACUUGCACAACUGCCAUUUGCUCAUCUGUAUAUGAAUCUAUAUCUUCAGGAUCAGCAAGAGGUUAAGCAGCAGUCGAUAGAGGAUAAUUUCCCUUUUUGAUGACUCUCCACAAUUUAACAUCAUAUGCCUUAGCAUAUAUUUCCAUACGUACUUUCCACUGGGAGAAAUACUGUCCAUUGAAGUAAAGUGGCCUUACUUGGGAAGUACCUUCUUGAAAAAGUGUUCAUAUGAUAACUUGAUUAGCCAUGAUCUUUUCUCACAAGCUGUGAAGAAAAAAGAAAAGUGUGAGCCUUGCUCUGAUACCAAUUGAAAGUACAAGAGGAGGUGAAUUGUUUAUUUUUAAACUUAAUAGCUAGUAGUUGACUAGUUUUACGAUUAGUAGACUGGAUGUAAGAACUUGAUACUAGAAAAGACAGAAAUUAAGAUGCAAAAUUUAAAUGAAGAAUUAAAGACACCAAAGUUUUUAUACUGGUUCGGAUUCAAUGUUGAUGGGUUUUCAAUGUCUUUGCCUUAUGCUUCUUAUUUUUUGAUUAUCUAACAAACUUAUUGUUAAGAACCAGAUAGAGAACCCGACUCACUUGGUACACAUCUUAAAUGAACAAAGUCCAUUCUGAUCUCCAGCAAAUGAUCUACUACAAAGAGGAACACAACAUGGACCUGAUCCCUUGGUGUUCUCUGACAGAAGUACAAGUCAACAACAGUUGGAACACAAAUGCAGAAAGUGAUUGUAUGCAGAAAGUAAUUGUCUGCAUAUUGUACACGCGAUAGUGUAGCAGAUAGUGCGGAAGUCACUUCUCAUUGGGAAGAAGAGUGUAUCAAGAAUUGACAUCACCAUUGUGAUGUCUUUUGUAGUAUAACAACCUGGUGCAAGGCACAAUAUAUUUACUUGAGCAUUUAGUGAUAUUCUCUCAAGCAGAAAAGUGUUCAUCCAGCAUUGCAGUUACAAGUGUGUCAAGAACAAGAAGACAACUCCACUAAAGGAUCAGUUUCACAAUGAGUCUAUGAGUAUCCAUAGUUGAGUUGUAAACUUGUUAUUUAUUCUUAAUUGUAACUCCUAUCUUGCUUUCCUAGAAGCUGUGUUUUAGGAAACCUAAAAAAUCUGUAAACUCUCUGAAUUUAUAUUGUGACUAGGUUUAGUCAUAAGUUAAAGUCUUUGUAACUAGAGAGUGACAAAGUGGCUUGUGGUAAAAGUAUCACAAGUUAGUUAAGUUGAAAUCUUUGUAAUAGAGUCAUUACAAAGUCGCUUGUAAUAGUUAGAUUACAAGUUAGUGAAGUUGAAAGCCUACAAGUGUAGGUCGUGAUUUUUGUCCCCUUGAGUAGUAUUUUUCCAUAUAAAACUCAUGUGUCUCUUUUACUUAUCGCUUAAUAAGUAUUCUCAGCAAAAACUCAUAGAGGAUCAGGUGCUCUAUAGUUUGGUGGACUCAUAUAAGCUAUCAAUUGGUAUGAGAGCGGGUUCUUUCUAAAAGGUUAACACCUAGAAAGGAUCUCAAUGGCUGCUCCACCCAACUUUGAGGAAGGACAAUCAAACUACAAACCUCCAAGAUUAAAUGGUCAGUACUACGGCUGGUGGAAGACUCAUAUGCAUGAUUUUAUAAUGGUCGAAGAUUCAGAACUAUGGGAUAUCAUCUGUGAUGGUCUACAUGUUCCUAUGAAGAAGCUUGGAGAAACUGGACCAAUGGUGCCGAAAAACAGAAAGGAGUACAGUGAUAUUGAUAGAAAAGUCAUAGAAAAGAACUAUCGCGCCAAGAAAAUCUUGGUAUGUGGUAUAGGACCUGAUGAGUAAAACAGAGUCUCGGCUUGUGAUUCUGCCAAAGAAAUAUAGGAAACAUUGCAAACCUCACACGAAGGAACUACUCAGGUUAAGCAGUCCAAGAUUGACAUGCUCACCACUGAGUAUGAACUCUUUAGGAUGAAGGAUGAUGAGUCUAUACGGGAUAUGCACACUAGAUUCACAUCCACCAUAAAUGAGCUUCAUUCACUUGGAGAUGUUAUUCCCAAAAACAAGCUUGUAAGGAAAAUUCUCAGUGUUCUACCUGGUUCUUGGGAGAGUAAGGUAAAUGUCAUCACUGAAGCUAAAGAUCUACCAACUCUAACCAUAGAUGAGCUGAUUGGAAAUCUGAAGACAUACGAGAUGAAAAGAAAGAAAGACAGUGAAAGGAGAGAACCAAAGAAGGAAAAGAACCUGGUACUCAAGGUUGAAAAUAGUGACUCAAGUGAAGAAGAUAGUGAUAUGGCCUAUCUUACUAAAAGGUUUCAAAAGAUGGUUUGAAGAAAUGGUGGUAUAUCAAAGAGAGGCAGUUCAAGUAAGGCUAGGAACAUUGAUCACUAUCACAUGUGCGGAAAGCUGGGGUAUUUCAUCAAAGACUGUCCACUUCUGAAACAGGAGCAAUACAAAUAAAACCCUAACAAAGUAGUAAAAAGGAACACGGCUCCAGAAAAAUGAUUCAGUCGAAAAAGUGCAGCUGAAAAUAUUGCGAAACAAGCUCUUGCUCCUUGGAGAGACUCCUCUAGUGAAUCAGAAAGGGAACCAGAUGCAGAAAACAACUCCAUGAUGCCAGUGGAAACUGAAGCAAUGAAAUAUGACUCACUGUUCGCGCUGAUGGCUCAGUUUGACGAUGAUGAAGAGGAUGAAAAUGAUGAGGUAAAUUUCAGGGACGUUUAGAGAAAUCUGAAAUCUUACUCUUCUAAGAAGUUAAAAUCUUUAGCAAAUAUUCUAAUUGAUGCAUAUUAUAGCCUUGAUAAUGAUAAGGAAACUCUAACCAUAGAACUAGGAGAAGCUGAACAAUCUAGAGAUGAUCUGGUGGUAUUUGUAGUGGACCUAAAUGAGACCAUAGCUAAUCAUGAAAAGGAAAAGAAAGUUUUGAAUGAAAAAUAAAUAGUAUAAAAAAUGAGAGAGAUGAGCUUUAGGUAGUGGUAGUUGAUUUGAAGGAAACCAUAGAAGGUCUUAGCAAUGAGAAACACACUCUAGAAUAUAAAAUUGUAGCUACUGAUCAAGAGAGGGAUGGCUUUUGGUAAUAAUCACUGACCUAGAGAAAACUAUUGAGGGACUCAAUUCAGAACAUAGGACUGUGAGUCUUGGGGAAGGGAAAGAAGUAGCUAGUGAGACACGCAUCAAGCCUGAGAAGGAAUUAAAUGAUGUGAAAACUAGUCUAUGUGGUGACUUGAGAAAAAUAGACAACUUAAAGCUAAAUUGGAGAGAAAAAAAAUUGAUCUUGAGAAAUCUUUGAAGUGGACCUGGUCGUUAGAUGUUGUCACUGCCAUAUACUUCAACAAUAGUGGAAACAGGCAAUGAAUCGGGUUCCAAAAGGAGAAAACUCCCUACAACCCUCAUAGCAAGUACGUCACUGUGGGAACAAUGAGCACUUCAAAGAAAACUGUCAGGCUAGGGUUCAAUCUGUUCAGAAAAAUAAAGUGUUUACUGAAAAAGUGACUACUAAAAAGGGACCAGGUACCGCUCGCAAGAAACGAAUAUUGCCUGCAUGGACUAGAAAAGCUCUCAUCUAUCCCUUUUCUCAUAACAAGGGACCCAAACUAGUUUGGGUUCCUAAAUCUAACCCAUGAUUUAUAUGUGCAGGGAACAGUGAGAAGAAGUGCACUGCAAUGGUUCACGAACAGUGGAUGCUAAAAACAUCAUGGACUGUCUCUCGCUAAAAGCCCUGCAGAAAAGAGAAUGUAUCAUGUAUAUGUAUAAAAAAAAGGAAAAGGAAAGGGGGAUACAUUCUCAAUGUUGAAAAGAUGGAAAGUAUGUGUCACACUCAAUUGACAAUAUGUGCUGUCACACCUCCUUUUUACCAUCCGAGGUGGUAUAUAAGGGAGUUUUUCAAUUAAAGUGACAUUAUUCGAAAUUGGAUUAUUUUAUUUAAUUUCAGAGUCGCCACUUGGAAUAGUUUGUUUGGUGUCUCAAGUCACCAGUUUAUUUUAAAUCCCAAAUUGAGGAGAAUUUUGACUUUAUUUAAAAGUUUGCGAAACCAAAAAUUCUAGAUAAGAAAUUCUGUUAACCCGGAAGAAGGUGUUAAGCAUUCCCGGGUUACGUGGUUUGAGCACAGUCACUUAAACUAUUAAUAAUUGGCUUAUUAUCUGAUUUACUACAUGUUUUAAACAUAUUCUGCAUUUUUAACUUUAUUACUGCUUUUUAAUUAUUUUAACCGCUUUUAGGAUUUAUGGAAUUAUUUCUUGAACAAGUUACGAUUGUCGUGCACUUGCCAUUUUGGAACACACCGCAAACCAUGCUACAUGAAAUGCACCCGCGAUCCAUGACAUGUUUAUUUUAUUAUUGUUCGAAGUUGUUAUGAUCAAGUCACAUGAAAUGCACACCCGAAUUUGGGAAUUAGGUGCCAUAACUAUGUCACAGGAACCGUACCCAUAAUCACAAUGAUUUAUUAAUUAAUCGUGCCUAAAGCAAGUUACGAUGUUCAAGUAAUUCUAUUGGAUUUAAAAUUAUAGUAAGGCCAAGAGUUUAACAUAUGACAAAUAAUUCAAGAGUAAUAGCACAUAAAUUUUCAGAAAGCACUGAAAUAUAAAUCUUACUUAUAUAUACAUUAUCCGAAUUCUAGCCAAAUAUGAAACUAUAGUGGCUCUAAUCUCAACAACACAAAACUUCAUUAUCCGAAUUCUAGCCAUAGCAAAGUUUCUUAAUUUUGGACGAGCUUCAUAAACAUCAACUACGGUUUAUAUUUCAACUAAAGAAAUUGAAUUUCAGUCACUAAUACGCAAUUCUUGAAGAAAAUAAAAUAACGUUCAAAAGGGACUAUGUGAAUCUGCAAAAAGAGAAAAAAACAUUGCUAAUAAUUUAGAACACGUCCCAAUUAAAAUUUAUGAUUUAGAGAAUCGGGAUGUCAACAAAAUCAAGAAAAAAUACAAAAAAUUCAGAGAUUCAAUCAAAAUAGAAUAUCCAACAGUUAUAUAUCCCUUUUAUCAAAUCUAGGCUUGUGAAACUAACUAAAUUUUACUUAUACAAGCAAUUGUAAAACUCCUCACUUCAAAUUAUCCUUUCAACCCACAUGGAUAAGCAGAACUUUCUUAUUAAUAAUAUGAAAGGAGCACUGAGCACUUGACCUUAAAAAAAUUAACAGUGAUGAGAAAUAUACAUCCAGCUUAAUUAUUCAGUUUAAGCUAAACCAACCUGCAACUAGUAUCAAUCGAAAUUAGUUUAACCCUGUGAGAUCGAUUUUAACACGAGCCAUUAUUUUAGGAGAUGAAUCACUGUCAAACAUAAGCGUUUAACUCAUUUAAAAAUCUACUGAACAGUUUGAAUGUUCAAUGAAACAUGUUCACGGCAUCAGACAUUAAUCAUGAAAUGGAAUUUCAAGCAGAUUUAGAUAUUAACAGGCUGGAUCUAAGAAAACAACCACAAACUUGACAUGAACAAAUCAGAUUUCAUUCAUAAACAUCAAAAUAAAGGAUAACAGAUGAGUGUUCACAUACCUAUAACAGAAAAAUAGAUAACAACGACCAAAUAAAGGUUUGAAAAUGCAGGGAAUAAGCUCAACAGCACAUGAACAUCAGACUUGAUUCCAAAUUCCGAUUAAAACAGGUUGGAACCCCAUUUUUAGCUUGCGAAAUUCCCGGAUUUGAGAAUUAUAGAAAAGAGGAAAAGGUUUUCUUCUGUAUCGGUGUGUGUCUCUUUGAUGAAAUUGGACAAUGGUCUUAUUUUUAUUUUUAUUUUUUGAUGACUUCUUUUGCUUUCGAAUUUUGGUUAGCAGGAGAUGUCCGUUGUUUUCUUCUGCUUGGGAGGGGAUCUCUUCUUCUGUGUUGUGUAAGAAUGAAAAAAGAAGAAAGAAGAUGGAGGAGGGGUCUGCUUAGAGCUGAUGGAAACGGCGCUAGGUUGGGGUCUUCUCCUAGGUCUAAAAUCU